CCGCAAUAAAGAAUACCUGCUUGUCGGCUUGAAAACUUUGCUGGCGAGUUUGUUCCUGGAGUUUCCUCCGAGUCAAUUUGGCGACCCAGAUGGGACCUACUCUGCUCGGCUGCAGGAUCCGCUCAGGACAGGGCUCCCUAGGGCCCUCGGGAAUUUUUCACGGAUGGACCUCUCGACUCAUUCGGAUCACUGCGGAGGCAGUCAACUACCAUCUUCUUAAACGACAAGCGAAGAGGAGGACCUCCCUGAAAUAGAAGAAAACCUUAAUCGGGUAUAUCUGGGAGUAUGGGCAUCUGAAGUUCCAGGAGAUCCUCUACAGGAGAAGUGGAGCGCACCGUAUCAGAUAUUAUUGACCACCUUUACAGCACUGAAGAUAAAGGAACAACCUGCUUGGAUACAUUGUUCAAGAAUAAAGAAAGCACCAGAGCCAGAGAAGACAUGGCGGAUCAAACCUUCAGUACUCUUACGUAUGAAAUUGCGUCGGUCAUAAUUUGGAUUUAUAUGAUAACUGGCACACAAGCUUGGGACCAAAACUUACACCUGAAAUUAGUGCAGAAUGUUACUAAGGUUUUUAAUCAUAGUAACUGCUGGGUUUGCGCAUAGUUGCCUAAAUCAGGAGAAAAUCCAGACCUUCCGUUAAUUGGAGUUCCAAUUCCUAACACUAUCUCACGAACAAAUUUAAGGGUGAACAGCAGCAAUCUGCGUCUAAGAGAAAGGUUAAAAUUUGGGCUAGUUAAUCAUAAUCCAGGUAAUAAAUAUUAUACCUGCACACAAAGGUGUAUUACACCAGGAACCAGAGUAGGAGAUUAUGCUUCACAAGGAGGGGUUUGUUCUAUAAUCAAUGAAAGUUGCUGUUCCUAUAUAGAUCAAAGUGGCAGAGUUGAAAUAGAUCUAGAGGGAAUUUGGAAACAAACUAAAGUAUUUCAUGAAAUGGCCAUGGAUGACACCUCCUAGGGUUUUGAAGAAAUAUGGAAAAAGUUAACUUCAUGGUUACCUGAUCUCUCCUGGUUGAGGCAACUGGUUGCAGGAAUAUAGAUGUUAAUUGUUUUAAUAUUGAUUACUUGUGGUAUGAUACAGUGCUCCUUCUGGUAUCGUAAACAAUAUAUGAUAAAUUAUGAAAACUGUAAAAGGAAUGAAAUUAAGCACCAAUUAGAAAUGGGAAAUUAUUUCAAAGAGACUUUAGACAGUAAUGGUAAUAUAUAAAACGUUGCAAAAGAAUUUGCAAAAGGACAGGAAAGGGAGGGGGAUUUGAGACAAGGGGGAACACAAAAUUACAAAAUGGAAUAUAUAAAAGUUUAGAAUCAGUUUUAAGUCAUGUUAAGUUUGAUGGCUUUGUAACAGUAGCAAUGGAAAAUUACUGAGGUGCAUGAUGCACAGGAAAAAAGACAAAGUAGAGUACAGCUAGAGAACAUACUGAGAAUUCUCGUACAAGAUAAACCACUGUAGUAUUAGGCCCUAGGGCCUCAGUACAAAAUGAGUGUAAGAAAAACAGGCUAGAAGAACAGGAUGCAAGGAUAAGGAGUAUUUGGGAAUGGCAGGUGUCCAGGUUGGGCUGCAGCUAAGCUAACUGAUAAGUAGGACAGGAGGAUUGUUACAUCUGUGGUGUUAACAAACGAAUUAAGCUGGUAUAAGCCUCUACUGCGCGUGCUUCAAAGGCUGCCAGCAGUGAUGAAGAUUGUUGGAAGAAGUAAACGACCCUCAGAGACCACCACCACAUUUUUGUACACAGGUGGGGAUCUUUCUGGAAAAUGAUGUAAUCCAUAUGUAGCCUCAUGAAGAUGUAUGUAUGCCCAUUGGCUAUAUAAGGACAGCUUGCUUAGCAAUACGGGGCCCCACGUUAGGAGGAAAUAUCCCCCUUGUCUCCCGGUGCCGCAAUAAAGAAUACCUGCUUGUCACCUUGAAA